CUGCACCCACAACAUAUGGAAGUUUCCGGGCCAAGGAUUGAAUCCGAGCUGCAGCUGUGACCUAUGCCACAACUGCAGCAACACUGGAUCCUUAACUCACUGCACCAGAGCAGGAACUCCUAUUUUCUUUCUUUCUUUUUUUUUUUUUUUGGUCUUUUUUGUCUUUUUGUCUUUUCUGCGGCCACAGCCUUGGCACACGGAAGUUCCCAGGCUAGAGGUUGAAUCAGAGCUCUGUAGCUCUGAUUUGACCCCUAGCCUGGGAACUUCCAUAUGCCGUGGGUGUGGCCCUAAAAAGCAAAAAAAAAAAAAAAAAAUCCUAAAACAUAUUUUAAAUAAAAAUUUUGAUCUCUUCUUUGAAAUAUGACUGCCUUAUUUUAAAACUUAAAAAAAAACCCAUUUUAAACUAUUAUAAGGAGAGAGGGCAUUUUAUAGCAGCGAAGUCAGAGAUUCCCCAUCACUCAGAUAAUUUAAAUUUAUCCUAGGCACCUAAUAAUGCAGCUCAAAAGAACCUUAACAAAAAUAGUAAAAACUCCUACUGUCCCUCCCCCUUCACUCGUGUGUCCUAACAACUAAACUUGACAAAAGGAGGGAAGGAAAAGGAUCAUGAUUUUGUAGUCCCAGAUUUUCCAUUUCUCCCAAACUUAAAACUUAGUUUAAAAAGUGAUAAAGAGAGGGGGUUCUAUAUGAAGUUAAAGAUUAAACUGAAUGACAGAUGUAAAAAACAAACUGAAAAGUUUAACAAUAUUUAACAUGAAAUCUGCCUAUUACAUAAAGGACAGAUGUAAAAAAUGUUUAAUAUUGGAGUUCCCAUCGUGGCUUGGCAGAAAUGAACCUGACUAGUAUCCACAAGGAUGAAGAUUUGAUCCCCGGCCUCGCUCAGUGGGGUAAGGAUCUGGCGUUGCUGUGGCUGUGGCCUAGUGUGGGGUAGGCGGCCACGGCUCCAAUUUGGCCCUUAGCCUGGGAACCUCCAUAUGCCGCAGGUGCAGCCCUAAAAAGAUGAAAAAAAAAAAUGUCUGAUAUCAUUUUAACUUCAUCCUCAUGAAACAUCCAAGUUAAAACAAUAAUUAUUAAAUUUUUCCUUAUUAAACUCCUGAUCAUAGUUGACUCCCAUUCAUUUCUAGUACUCAAAUAAUGAUCUAAGCACAGUGCAAAUGGAAAUAAUGUACUUACACUGGCACAAAAGUAGACUUCCCAAUAUUUUACACUUGGAAGAACCAUUUUUAAGUAACCCAUUAAAAAUUUUUAGAAGAAAUGUUCACAUCUUCAAUUCAACAAGUCUGUAGGUUAGUUUGCUUUUUGGUUUGUCUAUUGGUUUGGGGGUGGAGGUAGGGAUAAAAGUCAAAGUAACAUUAUUUUCAGAGCUCAUAAUAUAUUGUAUUAUACAAGUCAGUCUUUACAUUUCCAGAUUUGCUUGUUUCAGCCAUGCCUUCAUUUCGUUAACUAAAGUGACCUCCUGUAGAUUUCUGUCAAGUCCACUUGUAACACAUUCAACAGAGAGGAAUGAUCAUUUCCCACAGGUCUGGUGGGGGUUGGGUGGGGGAGGGCACAAAGUAGAGCUAAGGGCAGCACAACGUAGAGCACAAGGCAGAGCUAUGGUGUGAGAGUUAAGUGUCUCAUCUCACCAGCACUCUC
rnacentral:lncRNA from 1 species